rnacentral:rRNA from 1 species
UAGGGAAUAUUGCUCAAUGGGGCGAAAGCCUGAAGCAGCAACGCCGCGUGGAGGAUGACACUUUUCGGAGCGUAAACUCCUUUUCUUAGGGAAGAAAUUUGACGGUACCUAAGGAAUAAGCACCGGCUAACUCCGUGCCAGCAGCCGCGGUAAUACGGAGGGUGCAAGCGUUACUCGGAAUCACUGGGCGUAAAGGACGCGUAGGCGGAUUAUCAAGUCUUUUGUGAAAUCUAAUGGCUUAACCAUUAAACUGCUUGAGAAACUGAUAAUCUAGAGUGAGGGAGAGGCAGAUGGAAUUGGUGGUGUAGGGUAAAUA